rnacentral:piRNA from 1 species
UGACCACGCGGAUGAGCAGAAGU